rnacentral:rRNA from 1 species
UACGAAGGGAGCUAGCGUUGUUCGGAAUUACUGGGCGUAAAGGGCGCGUAGGCGGUAAGAUAAGUCAGAUGUGAAAGCCUUGGGCUUAACCUGAGAACUGCAUUUGAUACUGUCUAACUAGAGGACGAGAGAGGAAAGUGGAAUUACGAGUGUAGAGGUGAAAUUCGUAGAUAUUCGUAAGAACACCAGUGGCGAAGGCGACUUUCUGGCUCGUUUCUGACGCUAAGGCGCGAAAGCAUGGGGAGCAAACAGG